rfam:Capsicum annuum cultivar Zunla-1 chromosome 7, whole genome shotgun sequence
GGAUCCGUAGCGCAAUGGUAGCGCCUAUGAUUCUAGAUCAGAAGGUUGCACGACUGAAUCACAUCGGAUCCA